rnacentral:rRNA from 1 species
AAAUGAAUAGACGGGGGCCCGCACAAGCGGAGGAACAUGUGGUUUAAUUCGAUGAUACGCGAGGAACCUUACCCGGGCUUGAACCGCAACGGACCGUCUGAGAGAUCGGAUUUCCCUUCGGGGCCGUUGUAGAGGUGCUGCAUGGUUGUCGUCAGCUCGUGCCGUGAGGUGUCGGCUUAAGUGCCAUAACGAGCGCAACCCUUGCCGUCAGUUGCCAUCACUUUUGGUGGGCACUCUGUCGGGACUGCCAUCGUAAGAUGUGAGGAAGGUGGGGAUGACGUCAAAUCAGCACGGCCCUUACGUCCGGGGCUACACACGUGUUACAAUGGGGGGUACAGCAGGCUGCCACCUGGUGACAGGGCGCCAAUCCUGAAAACCUCUCUCAGUUCGGAUCGGAGUCUGCAACCCGACUCCGUGAAGCUGGAUUCGCUAGUAAUCGCGCAUCAGCCAUGGCGCGGUGAAUACGUUCCCGGGCCUUGUACACACCGCCCGU